CAUUGAUGGGGUGGUGAGUGGCGAACGGGUGAGUAACACGUGAGUAACCUGCCCCCGACUUCGGGAUAAGCCCGGGAAACUGGGUCUAAUACCGGAUAUGACCGUUCCUCGCAUGAGGAAUGGUGGAAAGUUUUUUCGGUUGGGGAUGGGCUCGCGGCCUAUCAGUUUGUUGGUGAGGUAAUGGCUCACCAAGACGACGACGGGUAGCCGGCCUGAGAGGGCGACCGGCCACACUGGGACUGAGACACGGCCCAGACUCCUACGGGAGGCAGCAGUGGGGAAUAUUGCACAAUGGGGGAAACCCUGAUGCAGCGACGCAGCGUGCGGGAUGACGGCCUUCGGGUUGUAAACCGCUUUCAGUAGGGAAGAAGCCAUCCUUUUAGGGUGGUGACGGUACCUGCAGAAGAAGUACCGGCUAACUACGUGCCAGCAGCCGCGGUAAUACGUAGGGUACGAGCGUUGUCCGGAAUUAUUGGGCGUAAAGAGCUCGUAGGUGGUUGGUCACGUCUGCUGUGGAAACGCAACGCUUAACGUUGCGCGUGCAGUGGGUACGGGCUGACUAGAGUGCAGUAGGGGAGUCUGGAAUUCCUGGUGUAGCGGUGAAAUGCGCAGAUAUCAGGAGGAACACCGGUGGCGAAGGCGGGACUCUGGGCUGUAACUGACACUGAGGAGCGAAAGCAUGGGGAGCGAACAGGAUUAGAUACCCUGGUAGUCCAUGCCGUAAACGUUGGGCACUAGGUGUGGGGGACAUUCCACGUUCUCCGCGCCGUAGCUAACGCAUUAAGUGCCCCGCCUGGGGAGUACGGUCGCAAGGCUAAAACUCAAAGGAAUUGACGGGGGC
rnacentral:rRNA from 1 species